rnacentral:rRNA from 1 species
CCAAUAGCGUAUAUUAAAGUUGUCGCAGUUAAAAAGCUCGUAGUUGAAUUUCGGGAUCAAUUUGUUGGUCGUGCCUUGGUACGUACUUGCAUUCUUGGUUUCUCCCUUCUGAAGAACCUUGAUCUCAUUAAUUUGGUGUCUUGGGGAAUCAGGACUGUUACUUUGAAAAAAUUAGAGUGUUUAAAGCAGGCUCGCGCUUGAAUACAUUAGCAUGGAAUAAUGAAAUAGGACGUUUGAUUCUAUUUUGUUGGUUUCUAGGAUCGACGUAAUGAUUAAUAGGGAUAGUUGGGGGCAUUAGUAUUCAAUUGUCAGAGGUGAAAUUCUUGGAUUUAUUGAAGACUAACUGCUGCGAAAGCAUUUGCCAAGGAUGUUUUCAUUAAUCAAGAACGAAAGUUAGGGGAUCGAAGACGAUCAGAUACCGUCGUAGUCUUAACCAUAAACUAUGCCGACUAGGGGUCGGAUGAUGUUAAUUUUUUAAUGACUCAUUCGGCGCCUUACG